rnacentral:rRNA from 1 species
UACGUAGGGUGCGAGCGUUAAUCGGAAUUACUGGGCGUAAAGGGUGCGUAGGCGGCGAGGCAAGUCUGGUGUGAAAUCCCGGGGCUCAACCCCGGAACUGCACUGGAUACUGCUUUGCUAGAGUACUGGAGAGGGAACUGGAAUUUACGGUGUAGCAGUGAAAUGCGUAGAUAUCGUAAGGAAGACCAGCGGCGAAGGCGAGUUCCUGGACAGUUACUGACGCUGAGGCACGAAGGCCAGGGGAGCAAACGGG